GCUUUUAUCUGUUUGCAAAACCCUUCAUUUGAUAAAAGGCUAUUAUUUAGUUUACGUAAACUGUCUGAAGAGCAUGUUUAUUUUAUUACUAUCAAAGUUAAGCUUAUUUAACAGUGAUCAGUAAGCGGAGAAGUAAUAAUCUCACAUUUCUUUAUAUUUGUCACGGUUUGCCUCCACCUACUGGUGGAUUUUCUCUGUUUUGUGUUGCAGGUAGGUGCGGCAGACGGCACACCUGUUUGGAGUUUUACUAAUUGAGGGACAGAGGAUUUAAGGAGCGGUGUGACUCGACUCCAGUGCUGGUUGAUACUCUCACAUGGGUAGUCUCUAGCCUCUGAACCUGCCUGCUCUGUUUCGUGAUUCCAUGUUAAUAACUUUGAACUCCGUUCCAGUAUCCUGUACCUGCAUCACCUACCUUGCCUGGAGUUGUUCCCACGUCUCGUCGCUUAAAGAUCCUCUGGACUCCUCUCUCCACGUCUGCCUGCCUGCCUCACGCUCUGAACUCCUCAUCUGGUCCGACCUUCCUCCGUUCGCCUCCGCUCUGGUUCCGAUUCCUGACCAUUCCGGUCUCCUCCUGAUCUGAAGCAGCGCCUUAGUUUAGUUUUGCCUCUUCUGUUAUUUCUCUCAUUGUAAAUAAACCAUUUUACCUUUUA